GUACACUCUACGGGAGGCAGCAGUGGGGAAUAUUGGACAAUGGGCGCAAGCCUGAUCCAGCCAUGCCGCGUGAGUGAUGAAGGCCCUAGGGUUGUAAAGCUCUUUCACCGGUGAAGAUAAUGACGGUAACCGGAGAAGAAGCCCCGGCUAACUUCGUGCCAGCAGCCGCGGUAAUACGAAGGGGGCUAGCGUUGUUCGGAUUUACUGGGCGUAAAGCGCACGUAGGCGGACUAUUAAGUCAGGGGUGAAAUCCCGGGGCUCAACCCCGGAACUGCCUUUGAUACUGGUAGUCUUGAGUUCGAGAGAGGUGAGUGGAAUUCCGAGUGUAGAGGUGAAAUUCGUAGAUAUUCGGAGGAACACCAGUGGCGAAGGCGGCUCACUGGCUCGAUACUGACGCUGAGGUGCGAAAGCGUGGGGAGCAAACAGGAUUAGAUACCCUUGUAGUCCCA
rnacentral:rRNA from 1 species